rnacentral:rRNA from 1 species
GACGAACGCUGGCGGCGUGCUUAACACAUGCAAGUCGAACGAUGACGACCGAGCUUGCUCGGUCUGAUUAGUGGCGAACGGGUGAGUAACACGUGAGCAACCUGCCCUUCACUCUGGGAUAACCUCGGGAAAUCGGGGCUAAUACCGGAUAUGAGCUCCUGUCGCAUGGCGGGUGUUGGAAAGUUUUUCGGUGAAGGAUGGGCUCGCGGCCUAUCAGUUUGUUGGCGAGGUAGUGGCUCACCAAGGCGAUGACGGGUAGCCGGCCUGAGAGGGCGACCGGCCACACUGGGACUGAGACACGGCCCAGACUCCUACGGGAGGCAGCAGUGGGGAAUAUUGCACAAUGGGCGAAAGCCUGAUGCAGCGACGCCGCGUGAGGGAUGACGGCCUUCGGGUUGUAAACCUCUUUCAGCAGGGAAGAAGCGAAAGUGACGGUACCUGCAGAAGAAGCGCCGGCUAACUACGUG